CAGUCGCCGCGGUAAUACGAAGGGUGCAAGCGUUAAUCGGAAUUACUGGGCGUAAAGCGUGCGUAGGCGGUGAGUUAAGUCUGCUGUGAAAUCCCCGGGCUCAACCUGGGAAUGGCAGUGGAUACUGGCUCGCUAGAGUGUGUCAGAGGAUGGUGGAAUUCCCGGUGUAGCGGUGAAAUGCGUAGAGAUCGGGAGGAACAUCAGUGGCGAAGGCGGCCAUCUGGGACAACACUGACGCUGAGGCACGAAAGCGUGGGGAGCAAACAGGAUUAGAGACCCCGGUAGUCCCUGUCUCUUAUAC
rnacentral:rRNA from 1 species